rnacentral:lncRNA from 10 species
UGUACGUGUUGCUUGCUCUGGGGGGCAUGGCCGGGUGUGCAUAUUUGCAUAUUUACAUUGUUUCCAAUCUUAGGCUGUCACAGAACAUCCUGAUAAAAAUAUCUGUGUGCAUACUUGCAAGGAUGGGCACAGUUGCAAGGAUAUCUUAAAAUAAAUUCCUAGAAACCAGGUGGCUGAGCCAAGGCAUUGUUGCUUUCUGAUGUCCGGUGGACCUCCAGCGCCCUGCAGAGACGUGUGCCAACUGCAGCCUGGCUGCUCAAGUGGAACUUGGGACUGUUCUGAUCAGACCUGAUUGGUCCAGGCCUGCCAGACAGAUACUCAGGCCUGAGCCAUCUCUGUGACCAGGAGGAAUGCAGUGCUGUGAUUGGCUGGCUCAGGAGGGCUUGUGGUCUUCCCCCUUUGUGACACAAAGUAGCA